AUAAAGAAAUUAGUUGUUCAUACGCUUGUUUCAUAUGUUACACUAGAUUUGUUUUUCGUGUUUAUUUUGAUAUGCAAAAGUGUUCGUUAAAGUUGACAAAAUGUUUUUUCUGAACGAUUUAUUUUUAUAUAAUUUUGAAAAUCGUGUUUUUGUUUCGUAAAGAUUAAAAAUCUUAUUAUACAUAUGUAAUGUUUUUUUUUGUUAAUUAAGUACAAAAAAAUAACAAAAAACAUUAAAUGUGUAUUAGUAAAAACACUCACAAUGCAUUCAAGAAAGGGCAAAAAAGGAUGAGUUAAAACGAGUAUAGUCGGUACUACACUGCACCAGUGCAGCGCUAAAAAUGAAUGGUCUAAGAAGUUCGUUAUCGUUCGAAGUAACAUUACUUCUUGCAUUACAAUAAACAAGCAAUUUCCUUUUUAAACCAUAGUUGUAGCCUGAACUCAUUUUCCUUGUGCGACAGUAAAUAAAUGAAAUCAUUGAGGAUUUA